UGUCCGAGCGUCAUUACAACCCUCAAGCUCAGCUUGGUGUUGGGCCCCGCCGCCCCGGCGGGCCCUAAGUCAGUGGCGGUGCGUCCGGCUCCGAGCGUAGUAAUUCUUCUCGCUCUGGAGGCCCGGUCGUGUGCUCGCCAGCAACCCCCAAUUUUUUUCAGGUUGACCUCGGAUCAGGUAGGGAUACCCGCUGAACUUAA
rnacentral:misc_RNA from 1 species